rnacentral:rRNA from 1 species
UGGGGAAUUUUGGACAAUGGGCGAAAGCCUGAUCCAGCAAUGCCGCGUGUGUGAAGAAGGCCUUCGGGUUGUAAAGCACUUUUGUCCGGAAAGAAAUCCUUGGCUCUAAUACAGUCGGGGGAUGACGGUACCGGAAGAAUAAGCACCGGCUAACUACGUGCCAGCAGCCGCGGUAAUACGUAGGGUGCAAGCGUUAAUCGGAAUUACUGGGCGUAAAGCGUGCGCAGGCGGUUUGCUAAGACCGAUGUGAAAUCCCCGGGCUCAACCUGGGAACUGCAUUGGUGACUGGCAGGCUAGAGUAUGGCAGAGGGGGGUAGAAUUCCACGUGUAGCAGUGAAAUGCGUAGAGAUGUGGAGGAAUACCGAUGGCGAAGGCAGCCCCCUGGGCCAAUACUGACGCUCAUGCACGAAAGCGUGGGGAGCAAACAGGAUUAGAUACCCUGGUAGUCCACGCCCUAAACGAUGUCAACUAGUUGUUGGGGAUUCAUUUCCUUAGUAACGUAGCUAACGCGUGAAGUUGACCGCCUGGGGAGUACGGUCGCAAGAUUAAAACUCAAAUGAAUUGNCGGGGUC